rnacentral:lncRNA from 1 species
GUCCUUGUAUCAAAGAUAUGAGAAAGGCGACAAAUCUACUACGUCUUGGCCUUGGAAGUUCCCAGGGUCUAUCUUUAUUCUUUAUAGUAAGGCUGGACGUAAUUGGGAUGCUAAAGAUACAAAACGUAGGAUCUCGUCUUACCCUCAGUCUAAGCCGGCCGGAUGGGGUACCUGGUGAUAGAGUGAAUCUCGAACCUAUUUCGAUAGUAUGAACAGGUCAGCGCAUUAACAAGUCUAAGCAUUUCUAGCUUUCACUCAUAGGAGCUGCUUCGCUCAUUUCGUUUAUCAACUCAUUCACUCAAAUAGACGUAUCUUUUCUCAUUACGUAUUACUUGAAAUUCGGCAGACCUACUCUUGCUGACCAAUGAAAACACCGAUGGCCUCAAUACUCU